GGGCCUGUGGCUCAGGGGAAGAGCCUCCACUUGGCAUGCAGAAGAACCCAGGUUCCAUCCCCGGCAGCCUCU
rnacentral:tRNA from 1 species